rnacentral:lncRNA from 1 species
UGUGGGGAAGUUGGCAGUUACUUGCGGUGAACAGGUUUGUACUGGUACAGAAUCCAGGAACACUGGUAAGGUUAACUGCCUGCCGUUAAAUGACUAAAAUACUGUUGAAAAACAACAAACAAAAGCAUCUGUUUUUCUACUCGUGCGUCUGUUUUUGUAGGUUUUUCAUCAUCACUCAUUUUCCCGAUCCACUUCAUCAAAUGUUUUCUGCUACGUUUUAGCAUCUGAACUGAGGUGUGAUGAUGAAAGGAGGCGCGAGGACGACGCUUCUGGCUAGAAUCCAAAUCACCAAAGUGAUGUUCACAGGGAAGAUUGGUAACUGGAGCAAAGUCUGUGCUUAGAUGUGAAGUAGAAGUGUUCACUGUGUAUUGGCUACUCCAAGUGGCUGUAUUCCUGGGUCAGUGUCAUUUUCCCCUAGCUGUAGCACAACAAGACGAGGCUUGUGUGUCUGAAGAAAGCUGUCGAACCUGCGUUGGAAAUAUCUAGUACAGGGUAAUAACAAACACUUAAAGUUGGGUAGUACCAAGAAAUCGUUAGGCAGAUCGACAUGUGGCUUGGUAUCUCAGUGGUUAAAGUGCAUGCACAAUAAGCAGGAGACCCUGGAUUUGAGCCUCAGUCGAGACACGAUUUUUACACCACCUGUUACAUAUUGAAGAUUCUUACCUUAUUUGAUCUUCUGUUUGGGUGCCAACAUCAACUGUGCGGCUUGUAACAGUAACUGGUUGUCUGCACUGCGGAGACACAAACAGACGCUGAGCCAGACUCUUGCAUGAAAGUCCUGAAAACGUGAGGCCAUAAGAAUGUGUUAGCUUAUAAACGAUUUUAAAAAGAAAUUCUAAAAGCAAAUAAAAGGUUUCUGUAAGCUCAAAGGUUUUGUUGCAUUGAUAUACAAAAAUACAAAGAACUUGAAACAGAGUUAAGGUUAAAAGAUAUUCUCUUUUAACUUUUCUGUUGCUUCCAGGGAACUUCACAUUUAUCUGUUCAGCACAUUUUUGCCAGUAUACCUGAACAGUCUCUGUGCCUCUUCAAGUCUUGGAUUCAUUGCCGCAUAAUUGAUCAGGAAGUCUUUUUCUUCAGAUGUCCAGGGAAUGUGUUGCCGUGGUUUAUUUUCCUAGAAAAAAUAUUUUAGACAUAUGUGAUUUAGAAUUUAUCAUUUCAACUUACUGACAGCAAUUGUAAUAUUCUGGAUAUUUUCAUCCAAUCUGAUAAAUGAGGUCGAUAAAAUUAAAGACAAAAUUUACAACCAUGCAAAAAUGUA